CUUUGAUUGAAAGAGUAACUAUGUCUAUGACAUAGUUUUAAUACUCUCUUGGUUUUAAGCUUCUUUCAUUACUCCUCCACGUAAAGGGAUUUUACAUAACUUUAUGGCUUUAGAGAAAGCUGCUAGUUCUUUUGUCAAGUGAUCAGUCACAUUGUAGGAGUUCUUGGAAUCAUCUUGCGUUGGCUUCCUGUCGAUUGAACCUCAUACGUUUUCUAGUUCUCCCAUGGCCAUUAGAAACAGUCGGUAGUUUAUGUUAUAUAUAUAGAAGACCACAUGUUUGCACAUUUUCUGAUUUUGUCAUCGGAUAGCAGGUCAAAAUUGACUUGUGCAGUUUAUAUUUCCGUUCUUUCUAUUCUAUUUUCACCCUUAUAAACUACAACAUCUACUAAUGUAAUAAUUGUAGGACCCUACACAACCUGAUGAUAAGCAAUGUGGCUACUUUGUGAUGAGGUUUAUGAGAGAUAUUAUUGAAGGGUCUCAAAAUACGGCAGCCUCAACUUUUCACUUGUCAUCACUGUUUAAGGGUGUUACUACUUAUUCUCAAAACCAACUGAACGAGGUUCGUGAAGAAUGGGCAAGGUGUCUGAUUAAGAAUGCAUUGGCUGGAUAGAUGCUCCUACAGAUGCUUUCCAUGAAGUGAAAUAGAGAUGUAUGGCAGGAGAAGUGAUGUUUUGUAAUCAAUCUUUAGAAUUAAGCACUAAUAGCUAGAACUUAUAUUUUUGUAAACUGUGAUUGUACAAAUAUUUUGGAUGUUAUAUUUUGGCUGGUGAUUGUACAAAUAUUUUGUGAAGUUAUAUGGUUGGAUGGUGGUUGCAUAUGAUUGGUUGGUUUUUAUUA